AGUCGCUGGAUGAAAAACGAGAGAGCUCGGCCGUGCGUGGGCCUCUGUCAAGGAGCCAAGCAGACCUCAAAUCCAACCACAAAGCUCCCUCCCCGCUCAAGCCCCUUGGAGAUCUUGUACAAUGCCAUCAUUCACCAGUUGCCAGACUCCUUGAAGUUGCCUCUAGAGGGCGCCAGAAGGAUAUUGUUCUGGGUCGCUUCGGGCCGUACGGUGAAGCCUUCUUCGUCCACCUCUGGACACAUCUGCAGAGAAGGAGCGGUGAAUGAAGUCCCAGCCACGAAUCUUGCGACACACGCACACCCUGUGCACAUGCGCGCCCGGAGUCCUGACCUCCGAGCUAACUCCCUGUCUUCCCCGCACCUGGGGCAGGGCGGCCGCACUGUACGCCUCGAAGUCCAGGGGCCCUGGACGGGGAGGAGCUGCACGUGAACCCGGGUGGGCUGCAGGCUAAGACCGGGCAUGGGUGGGGUGGGCCUGGUGACUGAGGAGACCCUGGCUGGGCAGUGCGGCUGUGACUCUAGGCACAGUGGCAUUGCUGUCUGCAGCUGGGCGCUCAGGGGAGGCCCCACCCUUUGCCUUGUGCAUCAGCUCACUCGGUAGCACUGAGGCUCAGAGAGGUCAAGAAAACAUCCCGGGUCACACAGCAAGCCAGACGAGAGGCUGCAGGUCCAGGCCUAACUCCAGAAGCGCCGGGAAUGGAACCCAGACCCCACAUUCCCUGGCUGAGCGCCCGCCACGGCCACCAAGCGCACCCCAGCCCGCUUUUCCGACGAUGGACCAGGCCUGUGAGGCCCCGCCCGCUCACCCGGCUUCUCCUGGCCGGUGCCCUUGCUCUCCGCGAACUUCCUGAGCAGCAGGUCCACGCUCACGUUCUCGAUGUUCUGUUUGAACUCCUCGUGCACCUGGGGAGCGUUGGGGGGGGGUCACACACAGGUCCCCUGCCCAGCCUUCUCCGGCUGCUCCCCUCCUCCCACACCGACCUCACCUGCCCGAUCUGAACGUGCGUGUCCUCCACGGAGUGGGCGUAGGAGCCCAGCAGCGCCUUCAUGUGCCGCAGGCACACACACACAUUCAUCUGAUGCCUGAUAGUGAAGGCCCCCAGGGAGGUCCUCACAAGCAGAGACACACAAUUUCCUGUCAACGUUGAGCACCUGGAUCCAGCCAUGCCUGAAACCUCUUCUAUCCCCUAAAAAACUUUCCAGUUCACUGAGCCUAUAAAUCUGCCAGUUUAAAUAAAGGUUUCUGUCAUUUGCAACUUUAAGAAAA